CGAGAAAAAGUCUCAUGUCAGCUAGUGAUAAACAAAUUUAAUGAGCAACAGGUGCCAAUAGCACGAGAAUUUAUUUCAAAGCAUGCUCCACAUCUUCUUCAUUGAUUAAGUUGGCAUUUAUUUUUCAAGGAGGCAGAUGAUGUAUUGAAAUUAUUUCCCAGAGAAGCAUGGAGAUGAUCAUUUUGUCAAGUUACAAGCACUGCUAUGCUUUUUUUGCGAGAGGUUCUCACCAUUUAAGAUAUCAGAUGAACAAAUUUUAACAUCACGAGAGAGUUUCCCCUCGUAUUAAACAUAUUUUUCCAUAUAUUUUUGACUUAUGUAGCUUAACUGUCUUAUGUAUACUUGGCAUUUCAAGUUGGCAGAUGAGACAUUUUCAAAUUUCCUCUACCAUUU